GUCCACGCCCUAAACGAUGUCUACUAGUUGUCGGACUUUAAUUAGUUUGGUAACGCAGCUAACGCGCGAAGUAGACCGCCUGGGGAGUACGGUCGCAAGAUUAAACUCAAAGGAAUUGACGGGACCGCACAAGCGGUGGAUGAUGUGGAUUAAUUCGAUGCAACGCGAAAACCUUACCUACCCUUGACAUGGUCGGAAUCCUUGGGAAACCAGGGAGUGCCCGAAAGGGAACCGGCACACAGGUGCUGCAUGGCUGUCGU
rnacentral:rRNA from 1 species